AGGCGCGUAGCUCAGUUGGUAGAGCGCAGGUCUCCAAAACCUGAGGUCGUAGGUUCGAUCCCUACCGCGCCUGCCA
rnacentral:tRNA from 2 species